rnacentral:tRNA from 1 species
GGAGAAGUACCCAAGAGGCCAAAGGGGCUCCCCUGCUAAGGGAGUAGGCUGGGAAACUGGCGCCCGGGUUCGAAUCCCGGCUUCUCCGCCA